rnacentral:rRNA from 1 species
AACGAACGCUGGCGGCAUGCCUAACACAUGCAAGUCGAACGAAGGCUUCGGCCUUAGUGGCGCACGGGUGCGUAACGCGUGGGAAUCUGCCCUUUGGUUCGGAAUAACAGCUGGAAAUGGCUGCUAAUACCGGAUGAUUACGAAAGUCCAAAGAUUUAUCGCCAGAGGAUGAGCCCGCGUUGUAUUAGGUUGUUGGUGGGGUAAAGGCCUACCAAGCCGAGGAUCCAUAGCUGGUCUGAGAGGAAGGGCAGCCACACUGGGACUAAGACCCGGUCGAGAAUACUACGGGAUGCAGGAGAGGGGGAUAUUGGAAAAUGGGGGCAAGGAUGAACGAGCAAGGGCGCGUGAGUGAUGAAGGCGGUAGAGAAGUAAAGCUGUUUUACCCGGGAAGAUAAUGACGGUACCGGGAGAAUAAGCACCGGCUAACUCCGUG